rnacentral:rRNA from 1 species
UACGGAGGGUGCAAGCGUUACCCGGAAUUAUUGGGCGUAAAGCGCGCGCAGGUGGUUUCUUAAGUCUGAUGUGAAAGCCCACGGCUCAACCGUGGAGGGUCAUUGGAAACUGGGGAACUUGAGUGCAGAAGAGGAAAGUGGAAUUCCAAGUGUAGCGGUGAAAUGCGUAGAGAUUUGGAGGAACACCAGUGGCGAAGGCGACUUUCUGGUCUGUAACUGACACUGAGGCGCGAAAGCGUGGGGAGCGAACAGG